GAUGAACGCUGGCGGCGUGCCUAAUACAUGCAAGUCGAGCGAACGGACGAGAAGCUUGCUUCUCUGACGUUAGCGGCGGACGGGUGAGUAACACGUGGAUAACCUACCUAUAAGACUGGGAUAACUUCGGGAAACCGUAGCUAAUACCGGAUAAUAUUUUGAACCGCAUGGUUCAAAAGUGAAAGACGGUCCUGCUGUCACUUAUAGAUGGAUCCGCGCUGCAUUAGCUAGUUGGUAAGGUAACGGCUUACCAAGGCAACGAUGCAUAGCCGACCUGAGAGGGUGAUCGGCCACACUGGAACUGAGACACGGUCCAGACUCCUACGGGAGGCAGCAGUAGGGAAUCUUCCGCAAUGGGCGAAAGCCUGACGGAGCAACGUCGCGUGAGUGAUGAAGGUCUUCGGAUCGUAAAACUCUGUUAUUAGGGAAGAACAUAUGUGUAAGUAACUGUGCACAUCUUGACGGUACCUAAUCAGAAAGCCACGGCUAACUACGUG
rnacentral:rRNA from 1 species